GAUGAACGUUGGCGGCGUGCCUAACACAUGCAAGUCGAACGAUCCCUUCGGGGAUAGUGGCGCACGGGUGAGUAACACGUAGCUUACCAGCCUCUCAGCGCGGGAUAACGGUUCGAAAGAGCUGCUAAUACCGCAUAAGCUCACGGGUUGUAGAGACCAGCGAGAAAAGGCUUAGGUCACUGAGAGACGGGGCUGCGGCCCAUCAGCUAGUUGGUGCGGUAACGGCGUACCAAGGCGACGACGGGUAGGGGACCUGAGAGGGCGACCGGCCACACUGGGACUGAGACACGGCCCAGACUCCUACGGGAGGCAGCAGUGGGGAAUCUUGCGCAAUGGGCGAAAGCCUGACGCAGCGACGCCGCGUGAGGGAUGACGGCCUUCGGGUUGUAACCGUCUUUCAGCUCCGACGAAGCGAAAGUGACGGUAGGAGCAGAAGAAGCACCGGCCAACUACGUGCCAGCCGCCG
rnacentral:rRNA from 1 species